AUAUUGUUAUUUGUAAAGUAUGUUUACAUGAUUUCAGUUGAUAUGCGGUAAACAUUGUGUUUAUUGUAAUUGUUCACUUUGUAAUGUGUUUCAGAUUUUUGCAAAUCACAUUUACUCUGUUCCUUUCACUCAGGCUGGAAGUGAUGUAAUAUACAGUAACACUGGCAAAGGAACAUCAGAGCAGAUGUCAUGCACAGAUGUGGGUGUGAUUUAUAGUUCUGUGGUUACUAAAAGGUAACAGACUGUAAAACAGGGUUGAGGCUACAGCACAACGACAGUCACCACCAACUGCAAAUUUGAAUGUUUGAUGCUUCAUAAGUCAUGCUUCAUACAUUUUAAGAGCAUAUUUAGAA
rnacentral:lncRNA from 1 species